UGGGGAUCUGCAUUUGCUUCUACAGCUUGUGAUGGUCUAGGUGGGUCAAUGGGAAAUCCAGAAGCAGCUUCUUCAGGAUGAGGGUUAAACUUCUCACUCCGGCUUUGAGAACUAGUCAGCCCUCGUCUCUUCUGUAGAAAAAAAUUUAUUUAUAUUUUCAGCAGAAGAAAAACAGAUGUCAACAAAAAUGAGUUGAGUAAACAGGAUGAGAUGAGUGUGUAGUUUUUCACCUAGUUCAGUUUUGAAUUUUGACAAUUGCACAGAUUUAGCGAUUUGUAAAACAGUAAUAGGUGCUUCAAAUAAGAUUUCUGUAAUUGAUUCAUACUGCCCAAUAAAACUUCAAUCUCUCUCGCUGUAAUGUCUGAAUCCUAAGAUCCCCACUACCUAGUGGGAAUGCGUGAUAAAUCUUCUUUGAAUACCCCAAGAUAAUAUGACAUGCGCAUAUUGAAUGGAUGACCUAAAUAAAGUGCUUAUCUGAUAGGAAUAGGGGAGUGACAGUUAUGGCGUGAUAGAGGUUGUUAUUGUAAUAAUAGCUAACUAACCUAAAGUGUGAAUGUGUUAGUGAGUUAGCAAGGAAAAGGGACUCAGUGGGAGUCAUCUAGAUUGUAUCAGGGAAUUAUAGGAGAGUGCUAGUUCUCUCGAAUAACCAGCACGUAUUAUUCAUUUAUAUUCUUUAAUAAUAGUCAUUUUCUUCUCCUUCACUACCGGUUCUUAUCAAUUGGAAUUAGAGUCUUCCACCUUGUCACAGCUGGAAAUGAGCGGUGUGGGUGGUGACGUUGCAGUGUUCGUGCAGGACUAGUCAAAGGGCUAGUGCAUAACCAGCCCAGGAUGGCACCAGGGCUGCUGAGCAUGGUGCAAUGUUAGGACCCAAUUGUAAGGUAUGGGACUUGAGUCCCACAUUGGAAGUAUGGGAUUCUAAUAUGGGGUUUGUAAUGAGGCCUUGGGCUCUCCCGCUACAAUAGCUAGCUUUUUUGGUAUGGUUGUCCUAAGGUUCUUAUCAAUUGGUAUUAGAGCUCCAAUCUUGGAGAUGAUUUCAACAUUUGAUGGAUGGGAUGCUCAUUGGUGGUUCAUCCAUGUGGAUCAGCAUUACGAGGCCAGGAGUAUAGCUGAGGAGAAGUUCUCAGAGGGGCUGAGAAGGCUUUGGAAGGUGAUGCUCACAUUUGGCGGUUUUGCUGGAAAAAAAGUAACCGAAAAGCAAAAUGCUGGGAGUUUGUGAAGGCCUUGGUGAAGAAAUUCCAACCAGAAUUGUAACCUUACAUACCAGUACAGGUUCAAGAUUCUGGGAGGAAGAAAGCCCAAGAAAAGAUGACGUCUUGGAAAAUGCAAACGCAGAGAUGAAAUUCUGUGGUUUCAAUGGAUGAAAGGUUUCUCUCAAAGGAGGAGCCGAGAAAAAUUCUGAAGAACCAGAAAAGGAUACAAGAAAUCAGAGAAAUAUGUAAAAAAAAAAACUGCGAAAAUGAGCGGGUCAACCCCACCAAAAUUGUCGUACCAUGGUGUAGGCACAAUGGUCAUAGAUACUCUUCUGAAGAGACUCUGAAGUAUGGAAGUCAGAAAUGAGUGUAGAAAAGAAACAGGAAUAAUGGAGAGCAGAAAUCAUGGAAAAGAAAGCAACCGGCUUGUCAAAAAACCAGCCAAGGCUACGGAUACAGCAGCAAGGUGGAGAAAAAAGUAACAAUGGCCGUAGAGGAGAAACACAUGAUGAUGAAGCAAGAAAAGUGAAGGUUGAGCACCACGAGAUCCACCUGACAUGGAUGGUCGUCGAAUGACAAAAGCAACGUCGAUGUUCGAAACAGUGACAGAACAAAAAGCAAGGGUCUGUUUGACUGCACAAAAGAAAGUUUCGAACUGUAAGACCAGCCCAGAAACACCUGCAGAACAACCAGAUUUAGGGCUGGGCAAGGAUGAAAAUGGGUCAGCAGUUGUGACAUGGUCCUCGACCAAGGAGUGCCCGACCUUAAGUUGGUAAAACAAGCAGCCCCUUCCGAAACCGUUAUACUGUUUUGCACGUAAGGUUGUCCUAGAUGAAACGGCCACCGUUAGAACUGCCUAACCGUGGUGGUUGAUGUUUUGUUGGUGACGGAGCUGACGGAAAGAUACAUGCUACCACGAGGUAAUUGAACAGUAACAAAAAGUGGGAUAAGACAAAGGCUAAAAACUUCAAGAGGGAGAUAGGUGAGCCAGGUGUCCUGUUUCCGAUGUCUCUGCCUUUUUCGGUGCCAGCCAAUACUUGUUGGCAUGGAGGAAUUGACAAAUGGGUGAGUGGAGAUAGAGCACAGUACAGAGGAUACUCCCUCCAAGCCCUUGAUAAACAAAUAGGCCAAGCUCAAGUCAAUAGAAAAAGUUAGCAAGCUGAAGAGGGAAUUUUGCAGCUGCUAUGAGAGAAUGAAAAGAGCUGAAAAUAUAGAGCGCACUGCUGAUGGAGGCUUAGAAGAAGAUCAAUGGGACCUUGGGGAUAGUACUAUUGCCC
rnacentral:lncRNA from 1 species